rnacentral:tRNA from 1 species
UGGAGUAUAGCCAAGUGGUAAGGCAUCGGUUUUUGGUAUCGGCAUGCAAAGGUUCGAAUCCUUUUACUCUAG